UGAAUCUAAAGAAAAUAGAGUCGUUGCAUUUUUUCCCCAUUUUUAUUGUUGGUGAAUAUGUUUUCCUCUUUCUCUCUAUUUUUUCAUUAUUAUAAGGGUUUUGUGGAAAUAAGAAUCGUGCUCUAAUUAGUGAAUGGUUCUCUAUUUACUGACAAAAGCAUAUCAGUCCCAACGGAUCCGUUUUUUGUUAAGGACAACUACUAGAGAUACUCUUAGAGUAUAUGCUCCUUAACCACUCUGAACCAAUAUAUCAUGUAUGGAUUGCGAAGCUCAUGUAAAAAUGCAUAGUCUGCUCCUUAGCCUGUGUUCUUCUAUAAAGUUGAUGUGCUCCUUGCUCUUUGUUUUCUGCUUUUCUUAUCAAAUUUCUAUGCCUAUUCCAUUAAUGCUGAUUGAUAUAUUUUUAUCAUACCCUGCAGUUUUUGGAUGGUUGGGUCAUAUUUGCGGAGUAUGCAAGACCAAGACCACCACCAGGACAACCUAUACAGAAUCCAACUCCUUAUUAUGGUGGGCAGUGAUUCCUGUUAUUUAUCUGAAACUUUCUUGUGCCUUGUUUUACUGUUUUUGUGUUCAAGUUGCAAUUGCAAAUCACAAAGUAUUAUUUAUUACGGAAUUUGUUCUCAGGUGGUCUUCAAUUUACCUUUAAAUUGUAGUAGCAGGUUGAUCUUCUAUGUAUGGAUGUAAUGCAAGGAUUCUCUUUUGAACCACAUGACAAUGAACUGAUUAUGCAAAUAAUCUUAUUACAUAGAAAUUAAGAAUGUGAUAAGUUUGUCAGUGCAAAAGUGUGAGUGAAUUUGCAUAACUUAUAGAAGAGGGAAAGCACCUGUUUAAACUUUACAGUACAACAUUUUUAGAUCAAAAGUACACAUAAUUUAACAUUUUAUAAAAGAAUUGGUAUACUGCAUCAGUAGUACAUGAGAAUCAUUUUGGCACCGAUAAUUAACAUAAACCUCAGUGGGGAACAUGUUUGAAUAUCCCAGAGUAACAUCAUGGCAUUCCUACUGCUACAUUUCUUCUUUCUAUGUUUCAUGACUUUC
rnacentral:lncRNA from 1 species